CUCCUUGCUCAGCUAUAUCUCAGAUCUUUUGCUUUAUGCCUUGGACAGCCUUUCUCUCUACCAUGUGGAUGCCUGCAGGAGCCUGCACAGUCAUUCUGCCACAUGCACUGUGGAUACACAGCUGAUUUACAGCUGGGCUGAAAAAGCCUCAUCUCUGUCUCUGGGGAUUCCAGGAUAUCCUGUUUUUGACUCUUAGCUAAGCGGAAAAAGUGAUGCUCACGCCAGAGAAGAGUCAGCCCAAGGUCAUCUAGGAUCAGUGGCACAUCUAGGAUUCAGGCCC
rnacentral:lncRNA from 1 species